UGCCUCUUGUAAAAAAAUAAAAGGUAAAACCUGCCCAGUGAUUUACGAAUUCAACGGCCGCGGUACCCUGACCGUGCUAAGGUAGCAUAUAAUAUUCCCUUUAAUUGUGGGCUAGAAUGAAAGGACAAACGAGGGCUAAGCUGUCUCUAAAGUACUAAAUAAAAUUAUCUUCCAGGUGAAGAGACCUGGAUAAAGUUAAAAGACAAAAAGACCCCGUAGAGCUUUACUACUAACACAGGACAGAUUUUAUACAUAGAUUUCUCUCCUUAGCUACAAUAGUUUAACUGGGGCGGUUGAGGAGCACAGACCCUCCUCUCAUAUAUAAGGAGCACCACCCACUAAAGAUCCUACACAGAUUAAAGAAAACAGCUACCUCGGGGCUAACAGGCUAAUCUCUCCUGAGAGUACUAAUCGAAAGAGAGGGUUGGCACCUCGAUGUUGGCUUAGAGUAUCCAAGGGG
rnacentral:rRNA from 1 species